CGUGCUAAUCUGCGAAAAGCGCCGGUAAGGUGAUAUGAACCGUUAUAACCGGCGAUACCCGAAUGGGGAAACCCAGUGUGAUUCGUCACACUAUCAUUAACUGAAUCCAUAGGUUAAUGAGGCGAACCGGGGGAACUGAAACAUCUAAGUACCCCGAGGAAAAGAAAUCAACCGAGAUUCCCCCAGUAGCGGCGAGCGAACGGGGAGGAGCCCAGAGCCUGAAUCAGCAUGUGUGUUAGUGGAAGCGUCUGGAAAGGCGCGCGAUACAGGGUGACAGCCCCGUACACAAAAGCGCAUGUGCUGUGAGCUCGAUGAGUAGGGCGGGACACGUGGUAUCCUGUCUGAAUAUGGGGGGACCAUCCUCCAAGGCUAAAUACUCCUGACUGACCGAUAGUGAACCAGUACCGUGAGGGAAAGGCGAAAAGAACCCCGGCGAGGGGAGUGAAAAAGAACCUGAAACCGUGUACGUACAAGCAGUGGGAGCACAGGUUUACCUGUGUGACUGCGUACCUUUUGUAUAAUGGGUCAGCGACUUAUAUUCUGUAGCAAGGUUAACCGAAUAGGGGAGCCGGAGGGAAACCGAGUCUUAAUUGGGCGUUAAGUUGCAGGGUAUAGACCCGAAACCCGGUGAUCUAGCCAUGGGCAGGUUGAAGGUUGGGUAACACUAACUGGAGGACCGAACCGACUAAUGUUGAAAAAUUAGCGGAUGACCUGUGGCUGGGGGUGAAAGGCCAAUCAAACCGGGAGAUAGCUGGUUCUCCCCGAAAGCUAUUUAGGUAGCGCCUCGUGAAUUCAUCUCCGGGGGUAGAGCACUGUUUCGGCUAGGGGGCCAUCCCGGCUUACCAACCCGAUGCAAACUGCGAAUACCGGAGAAUGUUAUCACGGGAGACACACGGCGGGUGCUAACGUCCGUCGUGAAGAGGGAAACAACCCAGACCGCCAGCUAAGGUCCCAAAGUCAUGGUUAAGUGGGAAACGAUGUGGGAAGGCCCAGACAGCCAGGAUGUUGGCUUAGAAGCAGCCAUCAUUUAAAGAAAGCGUAAUAGCUCACUGGUCGAGUCGGCCUGCGCGGAAGAUGUAACGGGGCUAAACCAUGCACCGAAGCUGCGGCAGCGAACGUAUCACUUAAAGCGAUUCAGCGGAUUACGAUUGACGGAG
rnacentral:rRNA from 1 species